AUAGGUUCUGAGCUUUUCUUUCAGCUAGGUUACAGACUGGGUCCUCUACAAGUCGGCUAGUUCGCUGGGCCAGAAGAAAGGAACUGCGGACACCAUUCAGGAUCUGAGAAGCAGAUCCCAAUGCAGUGAGCAUUGACAAAUAAGCUGGAGAAGAGUGGGCCUUGUGGAAGAUGUGUAACGUAAAUUAAGCCUUGACAGGGGAAACCAGCCCAAAAGGAAGCUGUGGAAAUGCAGCUCUGGCUAUGCAAACCAGAGGAAGACUGCAAAGACAUGCAUGGCCUAGGAUCAUCCUGAAACCUCAUGAAGACUUAUUUUGGGGGCACAGGAGGCAGAUGUUCAUGAUACAUUGUUACAUGAAAGAAGUUGUGUAUACUAUAAGCACAUUUGGAUAAAAAUGUAUGUACUUAGCAAAGUGAAAAGACAAAUGAUGUCUAUCAAAGAGUAACAAUGGUUAUUUCUACAUAGUGCAUGAUUAUUGAUUUCACUUAAGUAUAACCCCCUUGUUUUUUUUUUUUUAUGUGUUCAUUUUCUACACUAAAGAUUAAUUUUGAAAAGGCGCUUAGGAGAUGAGGGAAUUACUGGCCCCAGAACCACCUGUACAUACUUCCCAAAGCAUUAUUCUGGCAAAGCCGAUGUUUCUGGUUCAGCCUCACGAAGGAUUUCAAAUAUGGUUUGAAGUUGACAGUUUAUUUAUUUAUACCAUUAACACAGUUGAUUGACUGCAGUGCUUCCCAACAAUGAAAAACUUGGUGGAUUAACCAUUAAAAUCUAGCCAAUCUUAUGAAAAAAGUCAAUUACACAUCUCUGCCAAUAUUUGGCACUGACGUUAGGUUUUGCAAUUUUUCUGAAUGUAGUCACCCUUAUUUAUUUACUUAUUUUUGCAAACAUUGCUCGUCCAUUUGUUGAUUGAUCAAGCAACUGGUUUGGCUGUUUGAGACAGGCAGCUUCUGCUGGCUUCAGAGUCUCUGUGUAGCCAAGAAUGACUUUGUACAGGAGCCUGGCCUGGAGGCCUCCACCUGCCACGUGUUGGGAUUACAGGGUGUGCUACCACAUCUGGCUGACUUGUCUUUUUAAAUAAAGAAAGUUUGUACCUCUGU
ensembl:processed_transcript BB557941 expressed sequence BB557941